CCACUUCGCCUUUACUUACCUGGAAAGAAACAAAAGGGAAAUUAAAACAAUGCAACUCCAAGAUGGAAAAAAAAAAAAAAAACAAUAGGAAAGGAAAGCCCUAAACAUAAGGCAAAGUUAGUAGUUGUAGUAGUGGUGGGGGUGGUAGUAGUAAUAGCAAUAAUAGCAGUAGCAGUAGUAGGUAGUAGUAGUAGUAGUAGUAGUAGUAGUAGUAGUAGAUGAUGUAAAAGGAGGAGGAAGUUGAGGAGGAAGAGAGCGGGAGAUGGUAGAUUGUGGUGGUUAUGUAAGUGAAAAAAAAUUGGAGUAGCAGUAGAAAUAAUAGUUAUAACAUAAUAAUAAUAAUAAUAAUAAUAAUAAUAAUAAUAAUAAUAAUAAUAAUGAUAAUAAUAAUAAUAAUAGCAGCAACAACAACAAUAAUGAGGAUACACACUCUCUUGACAUUUCAGCCCACACGCAAGAAUGGCAAGAACGGCGCCUGGAAGAACAUGUGAACACUGAUCCGCGCCAAAGAAAACGAGCUGUACGUCUUGCGUCACCUCCCGUGGCUGACUCACGCGCUGACUGCUGCUGGGUAAACACACACGCGGGGCGGCGAGACAAUAGUAUUUCCUGGGCAGCGCUUUGUAAUUACUGAUGGUCUGUUAUUGUUUACUGAUGGAGGAAACGGCUGCACACACACACACACACACACACACACACACACACACACACAAGGUCAACACGCAUAUUCAUUUAAUCCGAUAAAAAAACUUUCUUCUGUCUCGCAUUUUAAAUUAUUUCACCUUCCUCCUCCUCCCCCUCGGCACAUGACAAACGAGGAAACAACUGAUGCCACCUAACUUAAGUCAAGGCCAAGUGUGUGUGUGUGUGUGUGUGUGUGUGUGUGCAUCAGAGCGCCAAGAACACGCUUUCAAGACACUGAUGACUAGCAACAGGUGCAUCCUAAAUAUUAUCCUCAUUUCUAUAAUCAUUGCCUAAAAUAAACAAUAAAAACUGCUGCUGCCAUAUCCUGAGUACUUUUGUCAGUCGCCGGAAAGGACUACUACUUGUAACUCUUGUACCGUGAAUGUUACGUGUCAUUUGUUACGUCUUUUUUAUUCCAAAGAUUCGUUCCUCCUGUCCACCCAGAUGAUUGGACAGACUUCCCCAUCGUUUUAAGUUCUACAAUGAAUGGUUUAUGUUUGCGCUCCUGUAUUAUGAAGGGCUACUACUUGUAACUCUUGUACCAUGGAUGUUACGUGUCAGUUGCUAGGUUUUUUUUCAAAGAUUCGCUCCUCCUCUCCACCCAGAUGAUUGGACAUACUUCCCCAUCGUUUUAAGUUCUGCAAUGAAUGGUUUAUGGUCGCACUCCUGUGUUAUGAGCCCGUAUUACCAGACGCUUUCGGCUCACAAGAAAUGUUUCGAAGGGUUACAAGAGAGAUUAGUUGGGUUUUCGUGAGUGCUUUUCACGUUCACUGUCCAGAAGCCUUGUCGAACUAUCACUAGGCUCAUGAAACUACCCAAGGGAAUACCCACAAGCUCUAUAAUAGUCUUGUUAAUGUGUGUUCGUAAGCCGUAAAAUGUUUGAAAAUGUGUCCCAUUGAUUCGAGGAGUAGAGAAUAAUAUAAACCUCCAUAGACCUCAAUAAUUAGUUAAAGACAGGUCGAUUUAGUUGUGAAAGCGCGAUUGAAAUAAACUGUGUAUGGGUAUAUAUCUUUUGCUUUUGUGAAUGGCAAAGUCAGAAAAAAGUAAACCUCCGUAAACAUAGUAAAGUCGACUGCAGGUUAACUUCCCCGAGAAUACUUGACUGAAAUAGAUGGUGUAAAUAUCUUUUGCUUUUGAGGGUUAAUUUUAGGGGUGACUAAUGAUAUACGUUAAUUUCAGCUUCCUCUUCUUAGUGCUUACAAGAACGCUGCCAAAGUAUGCUGUUUUUGCGCACACGAAUUCUGGCUAAAAGCAAAAUUAGAUGUAUAUAUUCUCUCUCUCUCUCUCUCUCUCUCUCUCUCUCUCACACACACACACACACACACACACACACAUUCAUUCACACAACGACAGGAAAUAAAUAAAUAGAAAGCAGAAUCGACCUUAAUACACAUGUCGUUGUUGUUGUUGAUAUUGUUGUUACUGAUGUAGGAACGUGACUGAGCGAAUUUAGGUCGAUUCUGUAUUAUUGUUUAUAUAUUAAUGUUGGUGUGUGUGUGUGUGUGUGUGUGUGUGUGUGUGUGUGUGUGUGUGUGUGUGUGUGUGUGUGUGUGUGUGUGUGUGUUGCGGGUUGAGGGGAUGAUGUAAACAAACUUAUUUCCAAUUUCCACCACCACCACCACCACGACCCCUACCACCACCUCCACCACCACCUGCUGCUACACGCCUCCACCUGACAGCUGGCCGCUCAACCCCCCACCCCCCCACCACAGCACCGUCACCUCCACUUUCCCGAACCACAACAACCAUCAUCAUCAUCAUCACCACCACCUGCUUCACCACCAAAACUAUCACAUUUAUAGCAUCAUCCUUUUUAAUCCUUCUUCCUCAUCUUUUCCGUCUCCGUCUUUUUCUCAUCCUUUUAUCUUCCAGUUUCAUUAUUCUUCGUUUCUUCUCUUCUACUUUCUAUUGAUUUUUUUUCUUUUUCUUCUUCUUCUGCUUCUUCUUCUACUUUUUCUUCUACUUCUGUUUCCUCUGCAUCUUUUUCUUCUGUGUCUUCUUCUUUUUCUUCACCUUUUUUUUAUUUUCCUUAUUCUGUAUUUUUCUUCUUCUCUUUCUUCUUUUCUUUUUUUCUUCUUUUUCUUUUUCUUCUUAUUUUUCUUCUUCUAUUUCCUUCUUCUUCUUCUUCUUCUUCUUCUUCUUCUUCUUCUUCUUCUUCUCCUCCUCCUCCUCCUCCUCCUCCUCCUCCCACACACGCCUCUUCACAAAACACUAUUAAACGCCUUCACCAGUCGUAAAGGUAAGCUUACACCUGUUUAGUUUCUUUUUUAUGCUGCGGAAGGGAGGAAUGGUAGUGUAUAUACUCUCUCUCUCUCUCUCUCUCUCUCUCUCUCUCUCUCUCUCUCUCUCAGGGGUAAACACAUAGGGGAAUCACACAAACACAAGACGAGGGGAAAGACGGUAAAUCAAGGAAGAGGAAGAGCAAAACAAGAGGAAGAGUGGUAAAACGAGAGAAGAAAAGGGGGAGAGGAAAACAAGAGAAAGAGGAUACGGCGAAAUGAGAGGAAGAUGGGAAGGAGAGGAAAAAUAAGAUGGGAAAUGGGGGAAGAGAACAAGGGGAUAACAAGAGAUGAUUUUUUUUUUACAGAAGAGGAAACAGUGCAAGGACUUAAAAAAAAAGGAAAACAAAAAAAAUAAAUAAAUAAAAUAAAAAAGCCCGCUACUUACUGCUCCUAAAUGAAUGGAAACAAGAUGAAAAUGAAGGGAAGACGAAGAGGAGACAAAGAAGAGGAUAAGGAGGAAAUAAUACUAAGAUGAAAGGGGGGGAAAAUGAUAAACAUGGGAAAAUAAGAGGAAGAAGAAAAUAAGGGUAAAAGGAAGAGGGAAAACCAGGGGAAGAGGACAAGGGGAAAAUAAGAGGAAGAAAAUAAGGGUAAAAGGAAGAGGACAAGGGGAAAAUAAGAGGAAGA